rnacentral:rRNA from 1 species
GAUGAACGCUGGCGGCGCGCCUAACACAUGCAAGUCGAACGGCACCUAUCUUCGGAUAGAAGCGAGUGGCGAACGGCUGAGUAACACGUGGAGAACCUGCCCCCUCCCCCGGGAUAGCCGCCCGAAAGGACGGGUAAUACCGGAUACCCCGGGGUGCCGCAUGGCACCCCGGCUAAAGCCCCGACGGGAGGGGAUGGCUCCGCGGCCCAUCAGGUAGACGGCGGGGUGACGGCCCACCGUGCCGACAACGGGUAGCCGGGUUGAGAGACCGACCGGCCAGAUUGGGACUGAGACACGGCCCAGACUCCUACGGGAGGCAGCAGUGGGGAAUCUUGCGCAAUGGGGGGAACCCUGACGCAGCGACGCCGCGUGCGGGACGGAGGCCUUCGGGUCGUAAACCGCUUUCAGCAGGGAAGAGUCAAGACUGUACCUGCAGAAGAAGCCCC